GUUUAUAAUGACUAUAAAUGAGGGACAGAGCAUAGUUCGGUCCUUUCAAUCCUGCAAACUCUCUUAUCUGAGAUGGAGUGGAGAUGAUCCAAUUGCAAGCUGUGAUCCAGCUGACAAUGUACUGGAACAACUCAAGAACGUUUCAGCUGUCCCUACAGGAUGAGACAUCACGCUGCCGAAGCAUGGUUUUCGGCAUUUUGCCUAAUGCCUAAUGCAUUUUAUUUUUUUUUUUGCAGGAAAAGAGGGGCACCCGUCUGCCAAGGGAUUGGGGCACUCAGUUCACUGCCAGUGGCUCCUGUGUGGUUUUCAUUUGGAAACCUCAUCAGUCCUCUGGUUGGUUAAGUGGACCUGAAGUGUACACCACCAGAUCUGUGAACUGCUGAUAAAGCGCAAAAAACUAGAAGCAACCUGUUUGAAAUACUCGUGACUGUUUGUACUCCUGAUAAGGACUCGGAAAAUCGACUAUGGUCGGCUUCUGGUCUGUUGCUUGGUUGGUGGUUAUAAGGGUGAUCGCCAGAAAAACACACCCUGUUUUUAUUAUUAUUUCCAAGACUGAGCACAUCUUUGUUGAAAAAAGAGAAGAAAAAAAACAAUAACAAUUGAAAAACCUAGUAACUGAAAUAAAUGUCUGUGUUGUCUUAUUUUUACAGUGAAAAAAUAUAAACUGUCUAAUUAAAACAAGUCAAAAUGA